GAUGAACGCUGACAGAAUGCUUAACACAUGCAAGUCAACUUGAACUUCGGUUUGGGUGGCGGACGGGUGAGUAACGCGUAAAGAACUUGCCUCACAGAUAGGGACAACAUUUGGAAACGAAUGCUAAUACCUGAUAUUAUGAUUUUAGGGCAUCCUAGGAUUAUGAGAGCUAUAUGCGCUGUGAGAGAGCUUUGCGUCCCAUUAGCUAGUUGGAGAGGUAACGGCUCACCAAGGCGAUGAUGGGUAGCCGGCCUGAGAGGGUGAUCGGCCACAAGGGGACUGAGACACGGCCCUUACUCCUACGGGAGGCAGCGGUGGGGAAUGUUGGACAAUGGACCAAGAGUCUGAUCCAGCAAUUCUGUGUGCACGAUGAAGUUUUUCGGAAUGUAAAGUGCUUUCAGUUGGGAAGAAAAAAAUGACGGUACCAACAGAAGAAGUGACGGCUAAAUACGUGCCAGCAGCCGCGGUAAUACGUAUGUCACAAGCGUUAUCCGGAUUUAUUGGGCGUAAAGCGCGUCUAGGUGGUUAUAUAAGUCUGAUGUGAAAAUGCAGGGCUCAACUCUGUAUUGCGUUGGAAACUGUGUAACUAGAGUACUGGAGAGGUAAGCGGAACUACAAGUGUAGAGGUGAAAUUCGUAGAUAUUUGUAGGAAUGCCGAUGGGGAAGCCAGCUUACUGGACAGAUACUGACGCUGAAGCGCGAAAGCGUGGGUAGCAAACAGG
rnacentral:rRNA from 1 species